rnacentral:lncRNA from 1 species
UCUGUUGAGGAGGAGGCUGAGCAUAUCCCUGUUGUGGUGGGUAGCCCUGUUGUGGGUAUCCCUGCUGUGGGUAUCCCUGCUGUGGGUAGCCCUGUUGAGGUGCAUACCCUUGUGGAGGGUACCCUGGAGGAGGGUAUGCAUCCUUGGGAGGGUAACCUACAUCAUCAAAACAACAACAACAAUAUCAACAACCACCACCGUAUCAAAAUCAAACCAAAACCAACAUGCAACACCAAAAUCAAUCACAUACCCUGAGGAGGAGGGACACCAACCGGAGCCUGGUGCUGAUUGUAGUGACUCAUCUUUGCUGAAAAUCAAAGAGUUGGGUGGAAUAGUAGGGAAAGAGUGUGAUGGGUGUU